rnacentral:rRNA from 1 species
UACGGGGGGAGCAAGCGUUGUUCGGAUUUACUGGGCGUAAAGGGCGCGUAGGCGGCCACCGCAAGUCAAUUGUGAAAUCUCCGGGCUUAACUCGGAAAGGUCAACUGAUACUGCGGGGCUAGAGUGCGGAAGGGGCAACUGGAAUUCUCGGUGUAGCGGUGAAAUGCGUAGAUAUCGAGAGGAACACCUGCGGCGAAGGCGGGUUGCUGGGCCGACACUGACGCUGAGGAGCGAAAGCAUGGGGAGCGAACAGG